rnacentral:rRNA from 1 species
UACAGAGGUCUCAAGCGUUGUUCGGAUUCAUUGGGCGUAAAGCGCGUGUAGGCGGCCCGGUAAGUCCGCUGUGAAAGUCGGGGGCUCAACCCUCGGAUGCCGGUGGAUACUGUCGGGCUCGAGUACGGAAGAGGCGAGUGGAAUUCCUGGUGUAGCGGUGAAAUGCGCAGAUAUCAGGAGGAACACCGGUGGCGAAGGCGGAUCUCUGGGCCAUUACUGACGCUGAGGAGCGAAAGCGUGGGGAGCGAACAGG